rnacentral:rRNA from 1 species
UACGAAGGGGGCUAGCGUUGUUCGGAAUUACUGGGCGUAAAGCGCACGUAGGCGGAUAUUUAAGUCAGGGGUGAAAUCCCAGAGCUCAACUCUGGAACUGCCUCUGAUACUGGGUAUCUCGAGUAUGGAAGAGGUGAGUGGAAUUCCGAGUGUAGAGGUGAAAUUCGUAGAUAUUCGGAGGAACACCAGUGGCGAAGGCGGCUCACUGGUCCAUUACUGACGCUGAGGUGCGAAAGCGUGGGGAGCAAACAGG